GAUGCAAACGGCCGAGGGUGUUGCAAAUAUUUUCUUUUUCUUCCCCCCCAUGUUUUCUCCGCCGAUACUCGCAACUCAUUUUGUAGGGCUUCUGUUUGUAAACGCAUAACGCCUAAUUAUCUUUGAUUCUUUCUGCCAUGGCUAUGGAUGGAGAGCAGUCGGUGGGUCCUACCGCCAACAAAAAAUCCAAUUCCGGUAAGAAAAGGAGGAUGUUUGCGACGAAAACAGUAAACAUAAUCCUAAGGCAUUUGCAUUUAAUUCCACGGUGAAAGCAAAGAAAUGGCAAGCACAAGCUACAGAGAAGGAGCAGAAGAGGUUCAUUUCCCAAUAAUUGAUCGGUCCACCAGAGAGCCAGCUCAAAAUGUAAUUGUAGGGAAGGGACCUCCCAAGGUUGAUAUCACAUGUUUGUCAUUUACAGCUUUAUUCAGAAGUAUCGAUCAGAAGAAGAAAUAACCAUAUACCACAAUACAAAGGUUUCCUGGAAACAAUCUCUCUACCGCACAAAGGUAGGGGAGCGGUCCUGAGGUACACUAUCUUCCUCGAACCUCACUUAAGGAAUUACAGUGGGUAUGAUGUUGUACCACAAUUAAGAAAUUCCAGUAUAGUUUUCAUAUAAAACGAAUAACAAUACUUUAGAAAAGGACAGGAGAAAAUGAUACCUUGUAAAUCCCAUUGCGUUGUUGUUCAAUCGUUGGAGAAAAUUCUUCAGCAUCAGUUAUGUUGUCAUUCACAAAUUCAUCAGAGCUGCCAGUCAUGUCGUCCUUCCAAGAUUUCAUUUAUUUAUUUCCUGCACUAAAAGCACGGUGUUAGUGAUAAUAGAAAAUUUAAAGUAUAACACCCUUAAAGUAUCCUUAUUAACAGUCUAAAGAAACAUAGCCUGAUCUACUCUGAUGAAGUGCUUUAGUAUGCGAGAAAUUAGGAUCUCAUAGAAGAAGCCGAUGAGGUACAUUCUACUCCAUAAGAUCACUAAUCAUCAGAAUCAAAAGGAAAGACAUCCACUAUAUUGAAAAUCAUCGAUUUUUAAAUGUCAAUCUCCCAAUCACUGAUUAAUAGAUAUCACCUUGCUAAAUGUAGUUCGAAGAAAUGAAAAUAUCGACAAUUAAAUUCACUAUAGAAAUCAUAGUUUUGAAGUGUAGAUAUCCAAUAAAGCAGGAGUUUUUAAACAAAUAAUCAAAAGACAAUUAAAUAAAUCAUUCACACAUCAAAUGUUUCAUAAAUCUUAGUGCAACUCACGGUUCAUAUAUAUAUUUCGUGGUCAAUUUUAACGUGAAUACUCCCAUACAACAAUUGAAACAGAUAACCAUCCAAAGGAACAAAUUAAGAUUUAAUCACUUUUCAUGACAAAUCUAACGAAAAUCAUAAAGAGGAAAAUUUAGAGUUCUUAACAAACUCUGGUUUUAGAAAAUUAAGGAAAGAACGCACAAUGUCCACGUUGAGUUGUCGGAAAACCAAGAAAAAAGGGUAAAUGCGAUUGUAAAACCCUAAUGGCGAUGAGAGAACUUUGCACGUAGAGGAGAGUGGAGAGAGUCCAAGAUUGCAGUAAUUUGGCAAAGAUUUUUAGUUUGAAUAAAGGAAAUAAUGUUUGCUUCUUUGACGAUAUAUACAAGGAAAAAAAAACUGAUAUAAGGAGGAUAAUUUCGAUAUUUCCUUGGCUUCCACGAUCUUAAGUCAAAUUUUUUUCCAAACUUUCAUCUCAUGUAGACCUGUCAAAAUGGAUCAGCCCAACCUAACUCAACUUAGCUAUGUAGGCCAAGGAAUUCGAUGGGAUUGGGCGGACCGGUUUUUCAUGUUGAAGAGCCUUAAAAUGGCUAGCCAAGUCAAGGUCUAAAAGGACCGUGGGUUGGGGUAGACUAGCCUUUCAUUUUUUCAGUCUAAAUUUGAACUUAAAUGCAUGCCAAUUAAUUAACAUUUAUAACAUAUGAUUAUAUGGAAGUACAUAAUUCAGUGGCAACUUAUAGCAAAUCCCUAUGUUGUUCGGACUCUUCAAAAAUGUCAAUGGGUGUGUGUUGGAUUCUCCAAAAGUUGUGUAUUUUUGGAGAAUCCGACACGGGUGUGGCAUUAAAAAUGAAGAGUCCGAGCAACUUUCCAACACCAAGUCACCAACACAUCUACAAGCAUAGUUGAAUCUGUUGAUGAAAUUGUUUUAGUUAACAUCUUCAUCCGCUUUUAUAUGCAAAUUUGAUUAGUUAAACAUUAGCAAACUACAUAAUCUAUUGAUAUAUAAAUUCACUUAAAGAAAUUAACACUUUGAAUUUGGAAGAAGUUGUGCAACAAGUUCUGAGCAGAAACGCGUGUUUGAACAUUUUCGUGAUGGAUACAACUUCUAUAGUUGUUGAUUUGGAUUGUAGUAAUAGUAAUUUAACACUAAAUGAGUAGAGUAUUGUGUAAGAUGCUAAGACUUAAUUCGGUAAUCACUAUUCCUAGUUUUACUUCUUUUUCCACAAUGUUAUUUUAAAUUUAAGUUCACAUCAAUCACAAUCAAUGGAACUUAUAUACUUGGUGAUUAGGAUUUAACACUAAAUAAGUAAAGUAUUGUGUAAGAUAUUAAGAUUUAUUCGGUAAUUACUAUUCAUAGUUGUUACUUCUUUUUUUGGCAGUAUUUUUUGAAUUUUUUAAUUCAAAUUAAAUAGUUCUUUUGCUCCUGGGCCGACCUUGGCCCAACUUUGGUCAAGCCUCCAAGAGCAGCGAACUCACUUGGGAUAGCUUUAAAAGCAUCACUUUUAAACGGACUUAAAAAUCAUAACCAAAACAAUCCAUAACAAAGGAAAGGAUUGGGCUGGGGUUUUAGAUUGAAAAAUGAAGGGCUAUUUCACCCUUACCCGCGGGCCUUUAGUGCUUGGUUUGGCUAGCCAUUUUAAGGCUUUUCAACCUGAAGGGCCGGCUCGCCCCAUCCCAUCGAAUUCCUUGGCAUGCAUAGCUAAGUUGAGUUAGACUGAGUUGAUCCGUUUUGACAGCAUUUUAUGGGAUGAAAGUUAGAAGAAAUUUUUUGACUUAAGAUCAUGUAAGCCAAGGAAAUGUCGAAAUUAUCCUUCUUAUGUCAGUCUUUUUUCCUUGUAUAUAUCGACAAAGAAUCAAACAUUAUUUUCUUUAUUUAAGCUAAAAAUCUUUGCCAAAUUGUUGCAAUCUUGGACUCUCUCCACUCUUCACUAUGCAGACAGUUCUCUUAUUGCCGUUAGGGUUUUACAACCACUUUUCCCCCCUUUUUCUUGAAUUUUUGGCAACUCAACGUGGAAUUGUAAGUUUUUUCCUUAGUUUUCUUAUUACUUAAUUACUAGUAUUCGUUAAAAACUCUAAAUUUCUCUCUUUAUGAUUUUCGUUAGAUUUGUAAUGAAAAGUGAUUAACUCUUAAUUUGUUUCGUUUGAUAGUUUUCUGUUAAAAUUGUUGUGUGGGAAUAUUCACGUUAAAAUUGACAUAGAAAUAUACAUAUAUGAACCAUGAGUUUCACUAAGAUUUAUGAAACAUUUGAUGUUUGAAUGAUCUAUUUAAUUGCCUUUUAAUUCUUUGUUCCAAAACUCCUCCUUUAUUGGAGAUUCACAUUUCAAAUCUAUGAUUUCUAUAGUGAAAUUUGUUGAUUGUCGAUAUUUUGUUUUUUUUGAACUACAUUUACCAAGGUAGUCUCUGUUAAUCGGUGAUUGGGAGAUUGACAUUUCAAAAUCUACGGUUUUCAAUAUAAGAAUGCCUUUCCUUUUGAUUUUGAUGAUUAGUGAUCUAUGGAGUAGACUGUACAUCAUCUGCUCCUUCUAUGAGAUCCUAAUUUCUCGCAUACUAAAGCACUUCAACAGAGUAGAUUAGGUUGUGUAUUUGCUUUGACUGUUAAUAAGUAUACGUUGAGGGUGUUAUAUUUUUAAAUUUUCUAUUGCCACUAACACCGUGCUUUUAGUACCGGAAAAAAUUAAUGAAAUCCUGGAAGGACGACAUGACCGACAACUCUGAUGAAUUUGUGAAUAACUACAUAACUGAUGCUGAGGAAUUUUCUCCAAUGAUUGAACAACAAGACAGUGGGAUUUCCAAGGUAUCAUUUUCUUCCUCUCCUUUUUUUAGAGUAUUGUUAUUCGUUUUAUAUGAAGACUAUACUGAGACUUUUUAAUUGUGGUACAACAAUAUCAUACCCGGUGUAACUCCUUAAGUGGGAUCCGGGGAGGAUAGUCCUCAUGGGAAAAUCUGAUGUUGUGUAGAAGUGAAAGGUUUUUAUAUUGAUCAUUAAAUGCAUUGUACAUCAACAGUGUAUUUAUAUGCACAAUACAGUAGACUCAUGCAUACACUGGAGUCCAAGUACUAGUAUUGUCGCUGCAGUCCCUCUUCUCGGUCAGCCAGAUGUCCUCUUUGAGAAUUACUCUUCCCAGUCAAAUUCUUGGAAGUGCUCUUCUUCAGACUUGCCUAGAGUUAGAAGUUUCAAUUGUUAUAGGUGGGGGAUUCUAUAUGAAGGGAGUGGCAUACUGGAAUACAACAUCAAAUGAUGUGCUUGCAUUUGAUGUGAAAAAUGAGAUCACAGCAGUUCUACAUGUGCCUAUUCCACGUGGGAGAUAUGGUGCUUGACUCGGAUAGAAGAUGAGCUAAGCUAUGUAACUGCUUAUAAUGAGUGUGGGGAUGUUUUUAUAGUAGAUAUCUAUGGAGGAAUGGACAUGAGCCUGAAGCACAGUGAAUGCAUAAAUCUUGGACACAAGAAGUCUUGUAGAGUAUUAGAGGAAAAUCCCGUUGUUAACAACAGUACUGUGUCUUGCAGCGUACUACCUUGUCUUAACAGAGGUGAUGACAUGGUGGUGAUCUACACAAUUGAAAGGAUAUAUCUUUGUCACCUGAUUGGGCAGAGGGUUGAGACUGUUAUGAUUCCAGGACAACUAAAUCCUGCCAGAAGAUUCAUUGCCUAAACAAACAGCCUCGCUCCGUUACAUGAGCUGAAGGAUUAGUGCCGUUGGUGGUAUUUCUGUUGCCGUCGAGUCAAAAACCUCUUAGUUUCAUCAAAACUUCCUUAAAUUUGCUGCUUCUGCUGUGUUCAGUGUGGAACUAAAACACAUCUUCCUUUUUAAAAAAAUUUGUUUGCCUUGGAUGGCGGGAUAAGUACUUUGAAUGACUUAGCGGUUGUAAUAGACAUGUUUUGGAUUGCCAUUUAUUUCAUUUGCAUAUUAGUUUGAAUGUUUUCUCCGUCACCCAUUUUAAUAUAUUUUUGGUGUGGUUGCGAGUAUUUAA